rnacentral:lncRNA from 1 species
CUUCUCUUCCUGGGAUAAGGGAAUUCAGCCAAUCUUUCCCAUUUGAAAGCAAAAUUACCGGUAAAAUGAAACUGUAUCGAUUUCAAUGUCCGUCUAUAGGCAAAAAUGGACUUGCAAUCAAAAAUACGGGGUUUUAGCGAGUUGAUCGAUUUUAAUGUCAGUUUAUGGGCAGAAAUCUAUUUGCAACUAAUUUUACCGAUAAAACGUGAAAUAAAGAAAGGAGUGAAGUAGCCCAUGCGUAUAUGGGAUCCGAACGGUUUAGAGUUAUGGCUUUUCGUUGAGCUCUUUUCCUUAAGUUCUAAAAAUAAAGCGGCAUUCCUCCUUUAUGAUCGUAGGUGGGCUUUCUGCUUUUGAUG